rnacentral:lncRNA from 1 species
GCCUCUGAGGGUCAUGUCUGAGUCCAUGGCUAUAUAGCAGCAGGGGUCGGGGUGUCUGUGUCUGUGUCUCAUAUUAACAACUAGAGAACGUGGGGGCUGUUCCUGGUAGGGGCAGCUGCCAGGGAACACAUGGAUGUCUAGAGGCUGUGCAAAACUCCCACCCCAACCCGCACCCACCACUGGAUGUGACACUCUGGGGAACUUGCCCCAUCUUUCACCGGUGGCAGCACUCAGGAGAACAGAUCCUGUGUGUUAUUUUGGGUAGGAUUUGCAAGGCUAAAGGGCAGAUAUGAGGGAAUGGAGGAGACGAGCAAGACUGGUGUGCAUGUUGUGAAAUAAAGAAUCAAUAAAAACUUUUUAAAAAAAAUCUGAACUAUCAUUGACACAAAAAUUAAUUUAAAUGGGCGGUAGAAACCAUAGCCAGGAGCUCUGCUGCCACCUCGUGGAGCUUAUGUGAAUUGCAGGAGAAGCCUGCGAAGAGUGGAGAAAUUCCUUCAGUUUUCCUUUCAGAAUUUUUAUUUUGUACUAAUACAUAAAAAUUUUAUUUUUCUUGUUAGGAUAAAAGUAAAUAUGUAAGGAGAGGAAGGGAGUGGUAAAGAAUGGGAAUAAGAAGAGACAAAGAACAAAACCUAAUAAAAAUACACAAAAGGCAUGAACAAAUAAUUUGCCAUUCCAUGAGAGAAGAAACAUCUGUUUAAUGAGCAGGUUCCUGUCUAGAUGGGCUGCAAGCAGACUUCUACAGUCACUGCUCUGAUUUUUUUUUUAUUUUGAUACAGGGUCUCUCUAUAUAGCCCUGGCUGUCCUGGAACGUAAUGUGUAGAAGAGGCUAGCCUGGAACUCAGAGAUCAUCCUGUCUCUGCCUUCCAAGCACUGGGGUUAAAGGUGUGUGCCACUACUGCCUGACUUCACUAUACUACUUUUAACAAAAAGACUUAAAGUGGCUGGGUAGAUGGCUCAGUAGGUAAAGCGGUUUCUGCGCAAGGGUGAAGAAGACCUGCUUUUAAAUCGCCAAAACUUUUGUAAAGGCUGGGUAUGGUAUCACAUAUAUAAUCCCGAUGUUUCUGCAGGGAAGUGGGAGCUCGCUGGGCAGCUGGAUUCCCAUGCUCAGAAAGAAAACAACAGACACCUGACUCAGAACAGUGUAAAAAUCAAGAACUAAGAGUCAGGGUUUUCCUCCGCCCUCCACACCCAUGCUGCCGGGACUUCUGGAGAGUCGUCAGGGCCUG